UACAGAGGUCUCAAGCGUUUGUUCGGAUUCAUUGGGCGUAAAGGGUGCGUAGGCGGCGCGGUAAGUCGGGUGUGAAAUCUCGGAGCUUAACUCCGAAACUGCAUUCGAUACUGCCGUGCUUGAGGACUGGAGAGGAGACUGGAAUUUACGGUGUAGCGGUGAAAAUGCGUAGAUAUCGUAAGGAAGACCAGUGGCGAAGGCGGGGUCUCUGGACAGAUAACUGACGCUGAGACACGAAAAGCGUGGGGGAGCAAAACAGG
rnacentral:rRNA from 1 species